rnacentral:rRNA from 1 species
UACGUAGGCGGUUACUCAAGUCAGAGGUGAAAGCCCGGGGCUCAACCCCGGAACUGCCUUUGAAACUAGGUAGCUAGAAUCUUGGAGAGGUCAGUGGAAUUCCGAGUGUAGAGGUGAAAUUCGUAGAUAUUCGGAAGAACACCAGUGGCGAAGGCGACUGACUGGACAAGUAUUGACGCUGAGGUACGAAAGCGUGGGGAGCAAACA